rnacentral:lncRNA from 1 species
AGAAUGUGACAUUGAUGGUUGACCCCUUGCAAAGAAACCACCAGCAUGUACACACAACAAUGCUGCAAUGCUUUAGACAACAUUGAUCUGGAGACUUCAUGAUUUACAUGUAUAAGGCUUUUAAAUGUAAAAAAAAAAAAAAUAAUCCCUACCUACCUACCCACCUGCUGAUAGUGUGGGUCGGCAAUGCCAAACAAACAAUUUUUUAAGGGUGGCCU